rnacentral:lncRNA from 1 species
CCUGUUUUUUUCCCUCGGAAACAUAAUGUUUACAGUAAAAACACUCUUGUCUCGCUGAGUAAACUGAUUUUAUUUGUUGGAAAGAAGAACAUUUCUUACAGGGUAGAAAGUUAUACAUUUUUGUCACCACCGUAAUUUUUGGAACAAUAAUUCGUCUGUAAGUAGAUAUUUUGAUUAAAAAUAAUUUUUACCCGAUGGUGCAUGACAUAUGAAAAGCUACAACAUUAUAAUAUAAUAAGCAGUCAUGAAAGUCUGACAAUAUUAUCCAAUGAAAUAAUAUUCCAAAAAAGAACUGAUGGAUGCGCCACUGAGGGAAGUUGGAAGGGUCGGAAGGAGAAUAUUCUAUAAUUUAUAUCUGUAUGUAACGAUUAACCAUUGCUAACAAAAAAACGAUUUUGAGCAUAAGUAAUAUUUUUCCCUUAUUAUCGUGUUAACAUGGUAAUCAACAAACAUUUUACUAAAAAUUGUCAGUUUUUCCCAAAUAUUAAGAAAACCCUUCGAAAAUAAAAAAAUACCUCUCAUAUGCAUUAACUAGAUUUAAAACGCAACAAAAAAGGUAUCUUAUUUUUUAAUUGGAGUGAGAUUACUAGUAGAAAAGUUAUUUACAAACAUACACAUAAAAAAUAUUCACACAUAUUAUAUUAAAAUCAAUAGAUUUUUCGCUACAGAAUCUAAUAAUAUGUUUCUAAAAAAACAUGAUUCCACGAAUAAAAUUCUGACAAAAUAAAAUUUCAACGUAAUUCAGUUAAAAAUAUUCGUAGACUUAUAAUUUUCACAGAAAACUUAGAUAUGAUUUUUUAGAUGUUGUAAAACUUUCAUUUUCACUUACAAUUGAGUUAUUUAUAGAUAUUUCAGUUUUACAAGUUUUUACGUAAUUUUUAUUUGGUAAGUACUCUGUUAAACUCUGUUAAAUAAACUGUUAGACUUAAUAGAAUUGAUUGAAAAUUUAAUAAGAGGUUCUUUCUAUAAGUUAUACCUAGUGGUCAAAAAAAUCAAAUUAGUUAAUGUAGUAUUUUUUUUACAAGAAUUUUAAAAUCAAAUUUUGAAGAUAAAUCAAGCUAAGAGUAUAUUGAGUGAACAACGGAAUGGGCGAUCACCUCAAAUCGCCUCUCCUAGAUCUUGCACUGGAUUGAAAAUACAUCAAAUAUUUGAAUAUGAGUAUACGAAUAGAUAUACUAUGUUGACUCGUAUUUUACGAAUUGUAAAUAUAUUUUGCGAUUAACAGUUCUUAACAAAUAAUUCAAUCAGUAUUAUUUUUUAUGUAUUAAAUGGCUUGCACACGAAUUGUUUUUUUGAACAUUAAUUGAAACACGCAAGUCAGAUUUUCUUUUAGAAAAAGUGCUACAUUUAUAAAUCGGAGCAAUAUUUCUAGUAGAAAAGUUGUUCACAAAUAAAAAAAAAAUAAAGAUCAUUGUAAAACCAUAAGCUUCUUCGAUCCACUCAAAAUCCAAAAUGACUUUCUUUUUCACCAACUAGAUUAAAAAUUCCCUUGAUUUUUUUUAUUGGAGUGAUAUUUAUGAUGGAUAACAAUUAGCCGUAGCAAUUUUAAAUAAUAAAAUCACUAAAAUACACGCCGUAAUAUAAAAAAAAUCGUAUUUUUUUUAUCUUUUUUGUUUUUUCCUAUUUAUUUCGAAAACCUUUGGAAAAAUAAAAAAUAUGCACCAACUAGAAAAAAUUAUCUUUCAGAAAAGGUGCUAUUAUUUAUAAUUCGGAGCAAGUUUUCUGGUAGAAAAAUUGUUCAAAGAUCGAAAUAAAAAUACAAAAACACACAUCAUAGAAAAACCAAUGGAUCCCUCAGCACGCACCGAAUCUAAAAUACGGUAAUUGGAGGAUUGGAACAUAAUCGUAGCCCUGUCCAUGGUCUUUUAGGUAUACUAUAUUUUUGUUGCGUUUCCCUCUAAUAUUUGUUUUUAUCUAUGUUAUUUUACACUGGACUUUGGUAUCAUUAUCAAUUACCUACCAUUUAUCAGUAUCAAUAAUAUAUUAUACAAAAAGUCGAAUUCCGAUAGUAUUGUAUUAUUAUAAGCAUUUAAAAACAAAGACUAAAAAACCAUAUAAUUGCAUUACAGCGAUUGUUGUACGAAUAUUGUGUACGCCGUCUAUGGCAGCAGUAAUAUCGAAUAAUACAAAUUAUAUUACUUUGUGUAGUACAGGAAGUACGCGUAAGUAAACCGCUAUAAGAUAAGUCGUUUAUUAUAUUGUAAAAGCGGGGUCGAAUUAAAAGCACAGUAUUGAAUAUUAGCUACAUAAUAGGUAUAUUAUGUACUAUCGAGUUCGGUGUAAUUAUAUGGAUACUCACAUUAGAAUAAUUAUUUAACAAACGAAUGUCACAUUGUAAUAAUAUUAUAGUAGGUAUAUCAAAUAUAUAACAAAAUUUUUGUUUGUAUUUAAAUACGAGUAUAAUAAUAGGCGCGAGCUCAAUUUACAAUAAGUUAAAAACAUUACAACAUGUACGUUAAAUGCAUAAUACAUACCUAGUCAUAAUAUUAUUUAAUAUUAUAAUAAAUUAUUGUCUAUAACAUAUUAGACGAACAUUUUCCAUAAUUGUAGAGGGGGCUGAUGUUUCAAAAUACUUUAUUGCGUAUCAAAGCCGCCUUCUGCACCUGCAAAAACUAUGUUACCUACUUUAAACACCGUAAAUAACCAAAGUGUGAUUUAUUUUAGACAUUUUAUACCGGCUAUACUAAACCAAUAUUUACGAGUAGGUAUGUUAGAUUGUAUACCUAUAUGGGUAAUUGUUGAUUUAUUAUACAGGGUUUGCCCUAAAAAGGGCCUUUUCGGCUGCUAAUCGUGAUCGAUAGAAUUGAGAAUCAAUCGCCCGGGACCACGAUAAGCCAGCUCAUUAUAUCGGAAAGUAUUAACUUUUUUUUUUGAAUUUUUUUUGCAAACAAUUUAUAAACAGAUGGCUCGUUAUUUGUUGUGACUCUUAUUUUUGUGAUUAAAUCCAUUAAAAACUUGAUUUUCAAAUAGCAGCCUAUAUUAAUAGUAUUCUUUAUAUAGUACAAUAAAGGAAUAAAACGUAGGUAUAGGUAUAGGUAAAGAUAUGCCAGUGUUUAAAUGUAUAUAAUUUACAAAAGUAAUUGAAAAUGUUUUAGACCAACAGCGCACACUGAGGGGGAGGGGUUAAUUGGCCACCCCCCUAUCCGAAAUGUCUUUCUUCGCUACAUUUUUUUAAAACCAAGUAUUACAUUUAACAACAUAAUAUCUUAUACCACAGAAUAAAAUAAAAUUUAAUAUCAUCACAAAUUAUUUAAUGGUGAUAAUACUGUACUUAUAAUAUUUGCUAUCCCCUCUCUAGAAAAUUAUUAUAAACAAAACCCCCCUCGAAAAAAUGCCUACGUGCACUACUGUUUUAGAUUUCAGAAAGUCUGAUAAGUUUCAAUGAGGACCUCCAUGGUAACUGUUUAGUGACUCCAGGUUUAUAGUUUAUACACAAGAUGAGUUUAAGGGGGGGGGGUUAUUUUCUUAAAGUGGGUAGGAGAAAGUCGAAAUUGGUGGCUGUAGGUAAAUAUUAUUCACUUCACGGCGCCUCCACUAUUCUUUCCCUACCUAAAUUUAAGAGUGGAAUAUCCCGUCAACGGGUAAAUAACAUAAAAAAUAUCAACAUCAAAACUAAAACUUUAUCUAUUUAUGGGAUUUUAUAAUUUAGGUAUAUAGAUAAGUAUAGAUAUUUACUAUUUGAAAAAGUGGGUUAAUAAUCGCACCAUCAGAUAUAAGGGUGACGAAAAAUAAUUCUAUAUAUUAAAUAUAUUAGAUAUUUUUUAUUCUUAAAAUAAAUUACAAUAAAUUUAUAUUAUGUAAAUAACGACGACAAGAAAAAAAAAUCGCUCACAUUAUUGUUACCGAGGCCGGAAAAUUUGGCGACAACUAUUAUAGUGGCUUUUUUUAUUUAUAUUUUUAAGAUUUUUAAGAUUUUUUUCAUUCAUGUUUCAGGGUUUUAUAACUAUGAAGACGAAGGUAGAUGCUCCACACAGGC